GCCAUAAUCAUUUAAGGUUGCUGGAACAGCCAAAGCUGCAGCUGCUUGUAUCCUAAUCUUAAAAUUGGAGGAAUCACGGAGGAGCAGCAAAAGAAUGCUAAAAACUGAUGAUGCCCAGACCAUGUUUUCCAGCUUCAACGUUGGAUUGGAAAACAAGUUGCUAAGUGAAUAGCAAACAUUCCACUGUACCUUAACGUUUCCAGUUGUAACACAAGAAAUAAAUGCUUGCACCAUCUUCUCGAGCCAUUUAGAACUUUCCAAGUAAGCGUUACAUGAACUUCGACUUUCUCCCAGAUCCUCGCUAAUGGACAAACCUUUUGUGGGCUUUCCCCUAGAAGAUACGACCAUUGAAUCUGCUUGCCUGUCAUAAGCAAAUGAUUGACUUGAAAACCUAACAACUCUUGAAAGGUUACCCAAUGCUCUCACAGCAUUUGCUUUAACCUUGUCAUUAUCGUUCGUAAGUUGUAAAGCACAGUCAAUCAGCAAGGAAAUCGACUGUGAGCUCACUGAAGAGAAUUUCUCAAAUCCAUGUACAUCAACAUGGUGGCGAAGUG
rnacentral:misc_RNA from 1 species